UUACCUUGUUACGACUUCGUCCCAGUCGCGGCCCCUGCCCUCGGCCGCUGCCUCCCCGUGGGGGGUUAGCACACGGACUUCAAGCAUUGGCCACUCCCAUGACGUGACGGGCGGUGUGUACAAGGCCCGGGAACGUAUUCACCGCGCCAUGGCUGAUACGGGGUUACUAGCAACUCCGCCUUCACGGGGGCGAGUUGCAGCCCCCGAUCUGCACUGAGACCACGUUUAGGCGAUUAGCUCCGCCUUGCGGCUUGGCAACGCAUUGUCGUGGCCAUUGUAGCGUGUGUGUCGCCCUGGACGUAAGGGCCAUGCUGACUUGACGUCAUCCGCGGCUUCCUCCGCCGGUCGCGGCGGCAGUCUCGGUAGACACGGGUAACUACCGACGCGGGUUGCGCUCGUUGCGGGACUGAACCCAACAUCUUACGACAAGAGCUGACGACAGCCAUGGAGCACCGGUGACGCACCCUCGCAGGCGGCCGUCUUUCGACGGCGUGCAGCGUCAUCUUCAGCCCAGGUAAGGUUGUCCGUGUUGCGUCGCCUUAAACCACA
rnacentral:rRNA from 1 species